UACGGAGGGGGCUAGCGUUGUUCGGAAUUACUGGGCGUAAAGCGCGCGUAGGCGGACCUGCAAGUCGGGGGUGAAAGCCCGAGGCUCAACCUCGGAACUGCCUUCGAUACUGCGGGUCUCGAGUCCGGGAGAGGUGAGUGGAAUUCCUAGUGUAGAGGUGAAAUUCGUAGAUAUUAGGAAGAACACCAGUGGCGAAGGCGGCUCACUGGCCCGGUACUGACGCUGAGGCGCGAAAGCUAGGGUAGCAAACAGG
rnacentral:rRNA from 1 species